rnacentral:rRNA from 1 species
AUUGAACGCUGGCGGAAUGCUUUACACAUGCAAGUCGAACGGCAGCACGGGGCAACCUGGUGGCGAGUGGCGAACGGGUGAGUAAUACAUCGGAACGUGCCCAGUCGUGGGGGAUAACGUAGCGAAAGCUACGCUAAUACCGCAUACGAUCUACGGAUGAAAGCGGGGGACUCGCAAGAGCCUCGCGCGAUUGGAGCGGCCGAUGGCAGAUUAGGUAGUUGGUGGGGUAAAGGCUCACCAAGCCUGCGAUCUGUAGCUGGUCUGAGAGGACGACCAGCCACACUGGAACUGAGACACGGUCCAGACUCCUACGGGAGGCAGCAGUGGGGAAUUUUGGACAAUGGGCGCAAGCCUGAUCCAGCCAUUCCGCGUGCAGGAUGAAGGCCUU